rnacentral:rRNA from 1 species
CCUACGGGAUGGACCAGUGGGGAAUAUUGCACAAUGGGCGCAAGCCUGAUGCAGCGGCGCCGCGUGGGGGAUGACGGCCUUCGGGUUGUAAACUCCUUUCGCUAGGGACGAAGCUUUUUGUGACGGUACCUAGAUAAGAAGCACCGGCUAACUACGUGCCAGCAGCCGCGGUAAUACGUAGGGUGCGAGCGUUGUCCGGAAUUACUGGGCGUAAAGGGCUCGUAGGUGGUUCGUCGCGUCGUCUGUGAAAUUCCGGGGCUUAACUCCGGGCGUGCAGGCGAUACGGGCACAACUUGAGUACUGUAGGAGUAACUGGAAUUCCUGGUGUAGCGGUGAAAUGCGCAGAUAUCAGGAGGAACACCGAUGGCGAAGGCAGGUUACUGGGCAGUUACUGACGCUGAGGAGCGAAAGCAUGGGUAGCGAACAGGAUUAGAUACCCUGGUAGUC